UACGUAGGGUGCGAGCGUUGUCCGGAAUUAUUGGGCGUAAAGAGCUUGUAGGCGGUUUGUCGCGUCUGCUGUGAAAUCUCAAGGCUCAACCUUGAGCUUGCAGUGGGUACGGGCAGACUAGAGUGUGGUAGGGGAGAGUGGAAUUCCUGGUGUAGCGGUGAAAUGCGCAGAUAUCAGGAAGAACACCAAUGGCGGAAGGCAGCUCUCUGGGACGGUAC
rnacentral:rRNA from 1 species